rnacentral:rRNA from 2 species
AUGCAAGUCGAGCGAAUCGAYGGGAGCUUGCUCCCUGAGAUUAGCGGCGGACGGGUGAGUAACACGUGGGCAACCUGCCUAUAAGACUGGGAUAACUUCGGGAAACCGGAGCUAAUACCGGAUACGUUCUUUUCUCGCAUGAGAGAAGAUGGAAAGACGGUUUACGCUGUCACUUAUAGAUGGGCCCGCGGCGCAUUAGCUAGUUGGUGAGGUAAUGGCUCACCAAGGCGACGAUGCGUAGCCGACCUGAGAGGGUGAUCGGCCACACUGGGACUGAGACACGGCCCAGACUCCUACGGGAGGCAGCAGUAGGGAAUCUUCCGCAAUGGACGAAAGUCUGACGGAGCAACGCCGCGUGAACGAAGAAGGCCUUCGGGUCGUAAAGUUCUGUUGUUAGGGAAGAACAAGUACCAGAGUAACUGCUGGUACCU